rnacentral:rRNA from 1 species
UACGGAGGGGGCUAGCGUUGUUCGGAAUUACUGGGCGUAAAGCGCACGUAGGCGGCUUGGUAAGUUAGAGGUGAAAGCCCGGAGCUCAACUCCGGAAUUGCCUUUAAGACUGCCUCGCUUGAACGUCGGAGAGGUGAGUGGAAUUCCGAGUGUAGAGGUGAAAUUCGUAGAUAUUCGGAAGAACACCAGUGGCGAAGGCGGCUCACUGGACGACUGUUGACGCUGAGGUGCGAAAGCGUGGGGAGCAAACAGG